rnacentral:rRNA from 1 species
UGCCAGCCGCCGCGGUAAUACGGAGGGGGCAAGCGUUGUUCGGAAUUACUGGGCGUAAAGGGCGCGUAGGCGGAAUAUCAAGUUAGGGGUGAAAGGCCUGGGCUCAACCUAGGAACGGCCUCUAAAACUGAUAAUCUAGAGUCUGGAAGAGGAUGGCGGAAUUCCUAGUGUAGAGGUGAAAUUCGUAGAUAUUAGGAAGAACACCGGUGGCGAAGGCGGCCAUCUGGUCCGGUACUGACGCUGAGGCGCGAAAGCGUGGGGAGCAAACAGGAUUAGAUA